UGAUUAAGAUAGUUGCCGAGGGUGAAUUG
rnacentral:piRNA from 1 species